GACAGAGGUGCCAAGCGUUAGGCGGAAUCACUGGGCUUAAAGCGUGUGUAGGUGGAUUGGUAAGUACCUUGUGAAAUCCCACGGUUUAACCGUGGAACUGCUUGGUAUACUGCCUGUCUUGAGCCAACUAGGGGCUAUCGGAACAAAUGGUGGAGCGGUGAAAUGCGUAGAUAUCGGAAAGAACACCAAGGGCGAAGGCACUCUGCUGGGCCGAAACUGACACUGAGAGACGAGAGCUAGGGGAGCAAAUGGG
rnacentral:rRNA from 1 species